AGGGCAGUAGCUCAAUUGGUAGAGCAUUGGAUUCCAAAUCUAAAGGUUGCGGGUUCAAGUCCUGUCUGCCCUGCCA
rnacentral:tRNA from 1 species